rnacentral:rRNA from 1 species
UUUAAUGAGAGUUUGAUCCUGGCUCAGGACGAACGCUGGCGGCGUGCCUAAUACAUGCAAGUAGAACGCUGAGGUUUGGUGUUUACACUAGACUGAUGAGUUGCGAACGGGUGAGUAACGCGUAGGUAACCUGCCUCAUAGCGGGGGAUAACUAUUGGAAACGAUAGCUAAUACCGCAUAAGAGUAAUUAACACAUGUUAGUUAUU